GAUGAACGCUGACAGAAUGCUUAACACAUGCAAGUCGAUGGGGAAGUGGUGCUUGCACCAUGGCAACCAUGGCGGACGGGUGAGUAACGCGUAAGGGACUUACCUGCAGGACUGGGAUAGCAGGGGGAAACUCCUGACAAGACCGGAUAAUGUCAUGGAGCUGCAUGGCUUUAUGAUGAAAGGAGACGCCUGCGGAGAGCCUUGCGUCCUAUUAGCUAGGUGGUGAGGUAAUGGCUCACCAAGGCGAAGAUAGGUAGCCGGCCUGAGAGGGUGGACGGCCACAAGGGGACUGAGAUACGGCCCUUACUCCUACGGGAGGCAGCAGUGGGGAAUAUUGGACAAUGGGGGCAACCCUGAUCCAGCAAUUCUGUGUGCACGAAGAAGGUUUUCGGAUUGUAAAGUGCUUUCAGCAGGGAAGAAGUAAGUGACGGUACCUGCAGAAGAAGCGACGGCUAAAUACGUG
rnacentral:rRNA from 1 species